rnacentral:rRNA from 1 species
UACGAAGGGGGGCUAGCGUUGCUCGGAUUGACUGGGCGUAAAGGGCGCGUAGGCGGCUUGUACAGUCAGACGUGAAAUUCCUGGGCUCAACCUGGGGGGCUGCGUUUGAUACGUGCGGGCUUGGAGUUCGGAAGAGGGUCGUGGAAUUCCCAGUGUAGAGGUGAAAUUCGUAGAUAUUGGGAAGAACACCGGUGGCGAAGGCGGCGACCUGGUCCGAUACUGACGCUGAGGCGCGAAAGCGUGGGGAGCAAACAGG